rnacentral:rRNA from 1 species
UACAGAGGGUGCGAGCGUUAAUCGGAAUUACUGGGCGUAAAGCGUGCGUAGACGGUUAUUUAAGUCGGGUGUGAAAGCCCCGGGCUCAACCUGGGAAUUGCAUUCGAGACUGAAUAGCUAGGGUACGGUAGAGGGAAGCGGAAUUUCCCGUGUAGCGGUGAAAUGCGUAGAUAUCGGAAGGAACAUCAGUGGCGAAAGCGGCUUCCUGGACCAGUACCGACGUUCAGGCACGAAAGCGUGGGGAGCAAACAGG